rnacentral:rRNA from 1 species
UUGACCUCAAAUCGGGUGAGACUACCCGCUGAACUUAAGCAUAUCAAUAAGCGGAGGAAAAGAACUAACAAGGAUU